AUUGAACGCUGGCGGCAUGCUUUACACAUGCAAGUCGAACGGUAACAGGCCUUCGGGUGCUGACGAGUGGCGAACGGGUGAGUAAUGCAUCGGAACGUGCCCAAUCGUGGGGGAUAACGUAGCGAAAGUUACGCUAAUACCGCAUAUUCUGUGAGCAGGAAAGCAGGGGAUCGCAAGACCUUGCGCUGAUUGAGCGGCCGAUAUCAGAUUAGCUAGUUGGUGAGGUAAAGGCUCACCAAGGCGACGAUCUGUAGCGGGUCUGAGAGGAUGAUCCGCCACACUGGAACUGAGACACGGUCCAGACUCCUACGGGAGGCAGCAGUGGGGAAUUUUGGACAAUGGGCGCAAGCCUGAUCCAGCCAUGCCGCGUGAGUGAAGAAGGCCUCGGUUGUAAG
rnacentral:rRNA from 1 species